rnacentral:rRNA from 1 species
UACGGAGGAUCCAAGCGUUAUCCGGAAUCAUUGGGUUUAAAGGGUCCGUAGGCGGUUUAAUAAGUCAGUGGUGAAAGCCCAUCGCUCAACGAUGGAACGGCCAUUGAUACUGUUAGACUUGAAUUAUUGUGAAGUAACUAGAAUAUGUAGUGUAGCGGUGAAAUGCUUAGAUAUUACAUGGAAUACCAAUUGCGAAGGCAGGUUACUAACAAUAUAUUGACGCUGAUGGACGAAAGCGUGGGGAGCGAACAGGAUUAGGUACCCUGGUAGUCCACGCCGUAAACGAUGGAUACUAGCAGUUGGGAGCAAUUUCAGUGGCUAAGCGAAAGUGAUAAGUAUCCCACCUGGGGAGUACGUUCGCAAGAAUGAA